rnacentral:rRNA from 1 species
GUGGGGAAUCUUGCGCAAUGGGCGAAAGCCUGACGCAGCCAUGCCGCGUGAAUGAUGAAGGUCUUAGGAUUGUAAAAUUCUUUCACCGGGGACGAUAAUGACGGUACCCGGAGAAGAAGCCCCGGCUAACUUCGUGCCAGCAGCCGCGGUAAUACGAAGGGGGCUAGCGUUGCUCGGAAUUACUGGGCGUAAAGGGCGCGUAGGCGGAUCGUUAAGUCAGGGGUGAAAUCCCAGAGCUCAACUCUGGAACUGCCCUUGAUACUGGCGAGCUUGAGUGUGAGAGAGGUAUGUGGAACUCCGAGUGUAGAGGUGAAAUUCGUAGAUAUUCGGAAGAACACCAGUGGCGAAGGCGACAUACUGGCUCAUUACUGACGCUGAGGCGCGAAAGCGUGGGGAGCAAACAGGAUUAGAAACCCCAGUAGUCC